rnacentral:rRNA from 1 species
GACGAACGCUGGCGGCGUGCUUAACACAUGCAAGUCGAACGGACAGGCCCUGCUUUUGCGGGGUGCUCGAGUGGCGAACGGGUGUGUAUCACGUGAGUAACCUGCCCUUGACUUUGGGAUAACUUCACGAAACAGGGGCUAUUACCGGAUAGGAUCUUCUGCUCCAUGGUGGGGGUUGGAAAGUUGCGGCGGUUGGGGCUCGUCUCGCUGCUUAUCCGCUUGUUAGUGGGGUAGUGGCAUACAAAGCUUGUGACGGGUAGCCGGCCUGAGAGGGGGACCGGCCACAUGGGGACUGAGGGACGGCCCAGUCUGCUAUGGGAGGCAGCAGUGGGGAAUAUUGCAGAGUGAGCGGAAGCCUGAUGCAGCAGCGCCGCGUGCGGGAAGACGGCCUUCGGGUUGUAAACCGCUUUGGCAGGUGACGAAGAGUGAGUGACGGUAAUGGGUAAAGAAGCACCGGCUAACUACGUG